UACGUAGGGGGCUAGCGUUGUCCGGGUUUAUUGGGCGUAAAGCGCGUGUAGGCGGCCAGGUAGGUCCGCUGUGAAAACUCGAGGCUCAACCUCGAGCUGUCGGCGGAAACCAUCUGGCUAGAGUCCGGAAGAGGAGAGUGGAAUUCCCGGUGUAGCGGUGAAAUGCGCAGAUAUCGGGAGGAACACCAGUGGCGAAGGCGACUACCUGGCCUGUUCUUGACGCUGAGGCGCGAAAGCUAGGGGAGCAAACGGG
rnacentral:rRNA from 1 species